CCUACGUGGAGCAGCAGUGAGGAAUAUUGGUCAAUGGACGAGAGUCUGAACCAGCCAAGUAGCGUGAAGGAUGACUGCCCUAUGGGUUGUAAACUUCUUUUAUAUGGGAAUAAAAUGUUCCACGUGUGGGAUUUUGUAUGUACCAUAUGAAUAAGGAUCGGCUAACUCCGUGCCAGCAGUCGCGGUAAUACGGAGGAUCCGAGCGUUAUCCGGAUUUAUUGGGUUUAAAGGGAGCGUAGGUGGAUUGUUAAGUCAGUUGUGAAAGUUUGCGGCUCAACCGUAAAAUUGCAGUUGAAACUGGCAGUCUUGAGUACAGUAGAGGUGGGCGGAAUUCGUGGUGUAGCGGUGAAAUGCUUAGAUAUCACGAAGAACUCCGAUUGCGAAGGCAGCUCACUGGACUGCAACUGACACGGAGGCUCGAAAGUGUGGGUAUCAAACAGGAUUAGAUACCCUGGUAGUC
rnacentral:rRNA from 1 species